AUCAGGUGUCUUGGAGAAAUUUCGAACCUGGGUUCUCAUUCCUAAGGUAUUUUUCGAUGCUAUUAUUAUUAUUAUUAUUAUUAUUCAGGUCACUGCCUGGAAUCGAACUCGGUAUCUUGGGGUUAAUAGUCCGCGCUCUUAACCACUACACCAUAUGCCUGUGGGCAUAUGGCGUACAGGUUAAGAGCGCGGGCUACUAACCCCAAUACUCAGAGUUCGAUUCCAGGCAGUGACCUGAAUAGUAAUAAUAAUAAUAAUAAUAAUAAUAAUAAUAAUAAUAAUAAUAAUAAUAAUGAUGAUGAUGACGACAACAACAACAACAACAACAACAACAACAUCGAAAAAUACCAUAGGAAUGUGAACCUAAGUUCGAAAUUUCCCCAAGACACCUGAUAAAGGCUGGAGGUUAUAUCAGCCGAAACGUUGUGUUAACAACAAACAAGAUGAGGACAAAUAUCCGUCAAAUGUAAAUAAUGUACAUAAUUCCUCAUCUCUUAAAUAUAGAUCUCCACGAUGGUGUAGUACUUCAAUGCAAAUCGUAGAGGCUUUUUGUUGAGGCCAGCAAGUGUGUACUAAUGUGGGUCAGCCCUCCAGUGUGCGCCGUUUUCGAAGUCUGCUACACCAAUGUGGGUCUCUGCUUCUACAAGAUUUUGGAAAUAAUGUGGAUACCAUUAAUCUGCUAGUUUUCUCCAUAAUCUAAAUCUGUGGUUCCAUAUUUCAGGAAUCAAUACUGGAAAUGGAAUGACAAGCAACUCAGUGCAUCACCGAGUUGGAAAGGAUGCCAGUUUGUGUACCGGACUGCUUUUAUCUACUUCAAUACGCCAUUAUAUAUAUAUAUGUAUAGAUGUGUGUAUGUGUGUAUGUGUAUGUGUAUGUGUGUGUGUGUGUGUUUGUGUGUGUGUGUGCAACACAUAUAUAUUGAAUAAAAUGGGUAAAAGAAAAAAAGAGACUUCAGCAAACAUUAUUCCACUAUGGUCUGCAUAAAAGCAUAAAUAAAAAAAAAACUUGAAACAGAAUUACUUCGAUAAUCCUCUCCACUCCCCGCGCCCCAACCCUCAUCUCUAACCACCACCACGACGACCAUCGCCAACACUAUUAUUGCAACAAAUCUUAUCACCCCGAUCACAAACACCACCACCACCACCACCACCACCAACAACAACAACAACAACAGCAACAACUAUAACAACACUAUAACCACCAACACAGCCGCUGCCACCACCAACACAGGUAUCAUCACUAGUAUUAACAAAACCUUCAUCACCACCACCACUAACUACUACUACUACUACUACUACUAUUGACGCAUCCUCAAUGUAUUCCACACCUACUGCCACCACCACUACUACCACCACCACCACAACCACCAUCACUCGCACUACCAUCACCACCACUACCACCACCUGCACUACCACCACCACCACCACCACCACUACCACUACCACCACCACCGUAACUAACUGCUACUACUACUAUUGGCGCAUCCUCAAUAUUACACCACUCGCACUACUACCACCCGCCCUAUCAACACCCGCACAACCACUACUACUACUACAAGCGAAACUACACCUGACACAAUCUCACCAUGUUGUCCAAUCUAAAUUGCGUAUGAACGGAAAUGAUUAUAUAACGACCUUACAUUUUUAUUUUGAUUGGAAGCUCUACCAAUAUGAUUACCACCAUCAUCAACAUCAUCAUUAUUAUUAUUAUUAUUAUUAUUAUUAUUAUUAUUAUUAUUAUUAUUAUUAUUAUUAUCAUCAUUAUUAUCAACAGGAGUUGUAGUGUUAGUGAUAAUAAUAACAGUAGAAGCAGCAGUAGUGGUGGUGGUCGUUAUGUUGAGCGUAAUAAUAUGGUGCCGCCGUCAAGAAUAUAUCGCUCUCCGCUUACCGGAGUUAAUUAUAGACCUCCGCAACGCUGUCCUGUUAUGUGAGCAGUCAAACAGUCGCUUCAGCUGGUUUUUGCUCGCCCUCCUCCGCUUCUUGCUUUCUUUUCUUUUCCUAUUUUUUUUUCUUUUCUGGUCUUUUAUUACUUUUUCUUUUUUCGUCUUUUCUUCUGGUCCAACUAAUAUCAAUUAUUGACGAAAUCCUGUUAUUCGUUGUAUUUAAUGUGUUCUCUUUCCUGUCUCUCUCACUACCUAUACUUCCCAUUCCCGUUUUUUCCCCUUCUUUUUACUUUGUCUGUGCGCUUACCUAUGUAUUUACAUUCAACUAUUCUUUUCUAUAUACAUACAUAUAAACAUAUAUACGUAUGUAUGUAUGUAUGUAAGUAUAUAUGUAUAUAUAUACACACACACAUUCAUAUAUAUAUAUAUAAGUAUAUUUAUAUGCAUAUAUAUAUAUAUAUAUAUAUAUAUAUAUAUAUAUAUAUAAGUAUAUAUACAAUCAAAUAUAUGUAUCUAUCUAUCAAUCUCUGUAAACAUCUAUAUACAUAUAUAAAUAUACAAUUAGAUACGCUCCACACAAGCAUACACAUAUACAUAUAUACACAAUACACACGCAUAUAUAUAUAUAUCUUUAUACUAAAUAUAUGUAUUUGCAUAUUUUUCUAUCUAUCUAUCUAUACAUGCAUAUGCGUGUGUGUAUAUAUAUACAUAUAUGUAUAUGUAUAUAUAUAUAUAUAUAUAUAUAUAUAUAUAUGUAUAUAUAUAUAUAUAUAUAUAUACAUAUAUACAUAUAUAUAUAUACACACACACAUAUAUAUUCAAAUACACACACACACACAACUCACAUAUAUGUAUAUUAGCGUAUGCACUCUCACACACCCACGUAGACAUGUGUAUGUUCAGUCACACACUCGCGCAUUUAGUUGUGAAUACUGUAUACAUAUGACAUUGUGACCACGUUGUCGGAAGUAGGAUGAUAAACUGCGUGUUAAAGCUGCGCUGCCUGAGAGCAGAUGCCUGCAUCAAGUGCUAAAGAGAGUUGGUAUUAUUAAUUUCGCAUUUGAUACACCUUCCCACACGCAUACACACCUACAUAUGUCUAUACAUAUACACUUACACAUACAAUCAUAUAUAUAUAUAUAUAUAUAUAUAUAUAUAUAUGUAUACACAAUACACAUAUAUAUACAAAUGUAUAUAUAUAUAUAUAUAUAUAUAUAUAUAUAUAUAUAUAUAUAUAUAUAUAUUAUAUAUAUAUAUAUAUAUAUAUAUAUAUAUAUAUAUAUAUAUAUAUAUAUACAUGGCUACAUAUAUAUAUAUAUACUCACAGAUACAUAUAUAUAUAUAUAUAUAUAUACUCACAGAUACAUACACAUGCAUGCAUACACACGCACACACACACACACACACACAUGUAUAUAUAUAUAUAUACAUAUGUCUAUAUGUAGAUCUAUCUAUCUAUUACUUGGCAUUGAAACGCCUCUCUCAAGGGAUAAUGGAAUAUUGCACAAAUGGUCAGUCAGUAUUUGAACUGCAGAUAGUUUGUCGUGAGCAAAGCCAAUGCUAUCUACCUUUUGAUCUUUAAUGGCCGGUAUGAAGCAUAUAUGUAUGUUUAAGUGUGUGUGUGUGUGUAUGAAUAUAUGGAUAUAUGUAUGCGUGUAUAUGUAUAUAUAUAUAUAUAUAUAUAUAUAUAUAUAUAUAUAUGUAUACUAACAUUUAUAUAUAUAUAUAUAUGUGUGUGUGUGUGUCUGUGUGUAUGUACGCGCGCGUGUGUGUGAAAAAAUAAGCUGGAAAAGACAUCAGAUCCACACGAAACAUGAAAGAGAUCGAUCACGCUUCUCACACAGUAAGGGAAUACUAACGAGAUGGACUGAACAAUUUUAACGACUGCUGAAAGCACCUUGAGACACAGAAUCUGUGACACUAACAUAUAACAGCGUAUCGUCAAUUGAAUUCUAAUGGAGAUGCUGAGAAUUGAGGAAUUGCUGGAAACAAUCUCCUGACUUUAUCCAAAUGUCCUGCGUAACAAAACUGGUGCAAGUAUUUUACAUAGUUCAACUUAGCUGCAUACUAAUGUAACGUCGUUCACUUUAGAACAAAAACGAGAACCACUCUGUUGCUUGCUAGAGAACUAAUAUAUGCGUAUACCAGCGUAUAUAUGGGUAUACCAGCGCACUAAUACAUGCGUAUAGCAGCGCCCUAGUCGUUGCAGAAAGAGGUGAAAGUGGAUACGUUUCCCGUUGCAGACAUUGAUCUGAAAACUCUACAAGACUUGACAUAACAUGUCAGUAUAAUAACUGAUAUAUCGACAUUAAACUACGAAAUAAUACGGCAAAGGAAAGCUCGGCUUUCAGACUGAUGUAUUUAUGGCUUGAGAAUAUUCAUCUUCAUUUCAGCAGAAUCAAGAUGAAGGUCUAUAGGGCAGUUGUCGUCUCCCCAAACCUGAACAUGUGACGCAAACCUGUGACGAAAACCUGUGCUUAAUCAUGAAAAUUUCAUGCAGGUACAUGAUAUCAUGUGAAGGAUCGUGGCCAGCAGGAUAGGGUGUUGUACUUGAGGAAAAAGUCUUCCUCUGGCGUUGCUCCAGCUCACUCAGCUAUUGAUGUAAAAGCUAGUCUUCUGAUCAGGGGGGAUGUAAGCCUAAUCGCUUCGACAGCGGGGUGAAAUCAUUCGAAAGUUAAAACGAUGAGAAACGCAUUGUUACCAUCGAUGUGUAACAACAUCGGAUAGUCUGGGCGAUCACAUGAUCACAUGGCACCAUAAGCGAGGAGCAAAACCAAGGAUUUCUGUGUACAAAUCAUUUCCUCAUCGGAAAAGUUUACACUGAAUUUAUAAUAAAAUAACACCAUCCGAAUGAUUCUCUACGUUCAACUAUGUAAGGAAUGAAAGAAACGUGGUAAAUGUAGUCUACGCUGCAAGGAAUCCAUAAAUUCUCACGAGGUAUAACCAUAAAGAUACAAAGACACAUAGGUGGAGAAAUGCGGAUAGGUAUAAUGAAUGUAAAUAAGUAGACAUCUGAACUGCUCAGUUUAAUAGGCAUAACAUAUAUAUAUAUUUCGUUUUUGGAUUUGGUUCGCAAGAUUCUUUAUAUGAGUUCGUGUGUUGAAGCAUAUUUUGUUGUGUCUGGGGAGAGUCAUUUUCUUUUUGUGCCUAUAAUUUAACACACUCACCGGUAAAAUAAGAAAUAAGUGGAAAUUUUAACGGUGAGUGUGUUAAAUUAUAAGGCACAAAAAGAAAAUGACUCUCCCCAGACACAACAGUAUGUAUAUAUAUUUGUUGUGCAAGAUUUUUUAUGUGAAGUCGUGUGUUGAAACAUAUAUUGUUAUAUUUCGGAAUGGUCAUUUUGCCAGUUUAGCCAUAGACGCACAUACGUCUAUAUAUAUACAUAUACAUACAGGCGCAGCAAUAGCUGUGUGGUAAGAAGCUUGCUCCCCCAUCCACAUGGUUCCCGGUUCAGUCCUACUGCGUGGCACCAUGGGCAAGUGUCUUCUACUAUAGCCUCAGGCCGACCAAAUCCAUGUAAGUGGAUUUGGUAGACGGAAACUGAAAGAAGCCCGUCGUAUAAGUAUAUUUGUAUAUAUAUAUACAUACAUACAUAUAUAUAUAUAUAUAUAUAUAAUAUGUAUAUAUAUUUGUGUGUAUGUGUGUCUAUGACGCUUGACAACCGAUGUUUUUGUGUUUACGUCCCCGUAACUAAGCGGUUGGGCAAAUGAAACCAACACAAUAAGUACUAGGCUUACAAUGAAUGAGUCCUAUAUGCGCUGGAUCAAAUCUGACCAAGGGCUGAACAGCCAGUUUGCCAUUUUUCCUGUUUUCCAUUUCAGAUGCCUCUCACUUGUGACUCUUCUUUAUCUUUGUCCAUUCCUAUAAUCAUAAAAUUCUUUGGAUAUUAUUACUGUCCAAGUGAAUCUAUUCACCAUCUUGAAGCAUCCUUGUUUUCAUCUGUAUCAUCUAAAGAAUUGCCCCCCCCACCUCAUCCAGCUUCCAACAUCACGAGAUUUUCGUCCUUUUCAACUCUUCUCGAACACGUUUCUUUUAUAACCGACUCUCAAUUCCUCCAACCAUUACAUUCCCGCACACCUUACACACACACUCAAACACAUUCUGUCCCUCUAUCCACACACUCUCUUUCCCUUAUAUAUUUACACACACACACACACACACACACACACACACACACACACACACACACACACACACACACACACACACACACAUACCCGCUCUUCUCUCGAUAAACUCUUCUUUUGUCUCUCUCACCUCAUCCUUCAAUGCAUCUAUCGUCUCCAGUAUCAUUUCUUUACAACAUCAUUGAAACUAUUCGGAACGUUUUUGUUAGAAAUGUAUCGUAUUUUUAAUUGCUCAAAACUCGUAUUAUCCCCGUAAGUUUGAUCAAUAUUUCCAGAUUUAAUCAAUAACUGAAAUAUUUGGGUUGCAAUUUUUCACUUUUCGUUUUUCGUGUCUUUUUUUUUUUUUUCAUUUUGCCUUAUUCUUCAUUUGAUUUCGUUUCUUUUUUUCUCAUCUUCCUAACUCUAAUGUUUAUUUCCACACAAAGUGAAGAACCAAUUCUUUGAAUUCUCCAUUCAGUAUCUGACGCCUUUCUUUCCUUUGCAGUCUCUCAUUUGCACCCAUUUCUUUCUGUCUCUCUCUAGCUCUGUCUCUGUCUGUUUCUCUCUCUCUCUCUCUCUCUGUCCUCACUUUCUCUGUAUUCCUUUCUGUCUUUUUUUACUUCCUCUUCCUUCUUAUUAUCUCUACAGCUACCGUCUUUUACUGAUUGUUGAAUAUUUAUUCUUCAAACGAACACUGUAGUUCAAAGUUAAAUCUGCCAGUUAUGUGAUACAAUCACAGCGUCAAAAACGAACAUUCACAGCGUUGAAUAGUUUAUGACUGGCCAUUAUGGAGAUCACAACUGAAUAAUGAAGAAAAAAAAGAAGUGGAAUUUAAUGUCAAAAUUUGCCGGGAUUCGUUACAAAUAUUUCUUGAAUAUUUACAGAACCCGAUUAUAGCUUUCAUCAUUCGAUCACAAAAUCUGCAGUUACUGCUGUCGAAUUGUUACUGAUAAGUAGCCGUUGGUUUUGAUCUUGUCGAGAUGAUUCACUGUAAGCAGGUAGCAUAUCAAAAGCUUUGAAGCGAAUCACACGUUCAGCGAAUUGGUUAUUCAACGUGACAGUUUGUGUGGAAGUUUGUCCAUUUGUAGAUGUUAUAAACGCGAUGAUAUUCUUUGAAUUAGGAGCAAACUGCUUUAAUCUAGAGGUCAUUAUUUUAAAGACUGUACAUAGUUCGGGGGAAACAUAUUGCUGUUAAACCAUCUCAUUACUAUUGCUGUAGUUCUUUAUCCCCAGGUCAGUGUUAAUCCCUCCGACAAGCAGUCAAAGAUGUUCCAAUCAAGGCAAUCCCACCCUUUUUGGUUAUUUUUUAGAUAUAGCCGCAGGAGUGGCUGUGUGGUAAGUAGCUUGCUAAUCAGCCACAUGGUUCCGGGUUCAGUCCCACUGCGUGUCAUCUUGGGCAAGUGUCUUCUGCUAUAGCUCCGGGCCGACCAAUGGCUUGUGAGUGGAUUUGGUAGACGGAAACUGAAAGAAGCCUGUCGUACAUAUGUAUAUAUAUAUAUAUAUAUAUAUAUA
rnacentral:lncRNA from 1 species